rnacentral:lncRNA from 1 species
GUGUGUUUAAUAAAUAAAUAAAGUGGCUAUGCUAAUCUGUAUCUAAAUAAAACUCUAGCAUGGAUAUGAUGAGUAGUUGCUCUGCCUAAUUUGCACAUUUUAAGUUCUCUCUCAAGUUUAGAUAUAACUGUUAUAAUUUAAAGCUUGCUCUAGACCUAAACUUGUGGGAUAAAAACUUGAUCUGAAGUCUAAGUUGUAAACGGAUACGAUAUGGGAAGGUUGAGCUGCUAUUUAUCUGUUCCUAGAGAUGCUAGAAUUCUGGAGAAUUUUAUCUUUGAAAAUCUUUAAAAUAUUGCAUGAUGAGUUCCUGCAUGAUGAGAGUUUAAAUUUCUACCACAGCCAUAUAUACAUGCUUGCUAGACUUUGAGCCACAUAUUUACUUUUUACUGCUUAUGAGCAUUGAGUGUGGUCAUGCUGUGUAGACCCUUAGGAGCUUGUCAUGUGGUUAAAUCAAGAUUCACUUGCACGUUCACUCACAUAUGCUGCUUCUACUCCGGAAGUACCAUCCACAUAUAUCCAUCCAUUUCCAUCUCCAGAACCACCCAAAAACAAUCUACUCCUAAUCCGGGAGAGAAUGGCCAAAAAUAUUUUUGUUUUUCCCUUGUUAAAUAAAUGCUCAAGUUAUCUUGUUACUACCACUUGCUAUAUUAUCUCAUGAGAUGAGUGCUCUAAAAAAAGAGAGAGAGAUACGAGGAAAUAAAAAGGGGCAAGUGCCUGGAACCUCGAAAGAAAAGAAAAAGAGUGAGACGAGAGGUAAAAAUGGACAAGUGUCCGACAGUAGAAUUAGGGGUGCAAGAUACCCACCUGAGAGAAAAAAAUAUAUAUAUAUAGAGCAUCUCAUUCUCCCCAAAGUUUCAAAGAGUAAGAAAGGUAUGUAUCCCCUCAAAAGAGCAAAAGUAGAAUUAGACUUUCACCAUUGUUAUCACCAUCAACACCAUAUACCAUUCAUUCGCCACACAUGCACAUCUUGAUUUGGCUUAUUGAUUUGUUUCUUUGGAUCCAUGGUUUGACUAUGCAAUAAAUGUCUUGUAAAUAUGUAUAUUAUAUCUCCCACCUAUGAGCUCUAGAUAUCAAGCCUUAUUAGAGUAGGGUGAGAGAGAAGACAAUAUCACUAUGCAUUAUACCACAAAUACCACAAAAGAGAGAUUUGAGAGAAUCAUACAAGGAAUCUCUGAGUUUUAUUUGAAAAUCUGCAAAAACUCCAGAGCUAUAGCUGAUCAAGAAUAAGAGACAUGGCACUUGGCUAGACCGUUCUAUCUUUUAACUACUCAAGACAGAAGUCACGGUUACAAGUCCCAUGGCGAAAGGUAAAGUAAGUAAGUUUUAAGUCUUGACAGUUUACUCUAACUCAAAGAUGAGAUCUUAUUUAAAAGCAUGUGUACCGUCAAAUUUUUAAAGAUAUUGCAGCAACUUAUGAUCCAUAGCUGAGUCUAUCCUUGCUCAGGGCCGAGCAAGAGGUAAGCUGAGUUUGUUGACAGUCCUUAAGUAUCAAAUUUAAUUAUCAAAUAAACAAAGAAAAGGAUCCAAAUGAAAUCAACAUCUAGACUUAGGGUUUUAAUUGACAGAAUUCCACGAGUUUUGGUGUUUGUCUAUUUCUGUAGGGGGUUAUCAGGAAAUAUGGAAGAAAGGCCCACGGGAUUACAUAGAGAUAUUAACGCGCCGUGCAAUUAUCUUACAUCUAGAAUACUCCAGAAGCCACGGGAAGAAAGCGGAGGCCGAGAGGGGCAAGAGGCAGGGCGCCCGCCCUCCUUCCCUGGGCGCCCACCCUGACUCAGAGCCCAAUCAGGACUCUGUUUCGUGGGAGAUCUCCACCGACCUAAAGGAUAAAGGAUAACCGUUCAAUCUAAGUCGGUUUGAUCCAACGACCCAUAUUCACUUGAAGGGACUAUAAAACCAGACCCCCUGGCCCCUGGAGGAGAGAGCCUCUCAACCCUAAUUCAUUAUUUUUCAAGGGAGAAGAAGCCUCUGAUCAAGAUUAGAGCCACCACAUCAAUUAGAUAUCUAGAUUAGCAUAGCUACAUAGGAUUAGAACUAGAAGGAGUCAAUCUUCGAUUGGUUUCCGGAUCUGUCAAGAGGAUUCUUGGUAAUUCUCUAAUUGUGCUUCUAAUUGCUUUCUAAUUAUCUCUGUUCUUCAAUAUUAUGAAUAUGACUUUGUUCUACUUCAAUAUAUUGCUUAUGACUUUGCUCUACUUGCUUAUAUUCAAGAUUAUAUUGUUCUUAGUUUAUCAUAGUUAUGUACUUGGCUUAGUUAGAUUGGAUCUAUAUACAUGCUUAGGAUCGUAUAGCGUUUAUCCAUCGGAUCCAUAGGUAAAUGAUAGAUAUUGUGUAGGCGUGGUGCUUAUACCGUAUUUAUCUGUGAUUGUACCCAAUAUGCCAGAUCAUGGGGUAGUUCGUGAUAGUGACAGCUUCAUUGAUUCUUAUAUAGUCCCCCUUUCGUGUAUUGGGCUGGCAGAGCAACAUUAUUACAGGGGAGUGAUUGCUAUGUUUCUCAUUUACCUUGCUAAUAUCACUAUGCAUGGGCAUAGUCUUGUCUCACAAUGAUUGCUAAGUAUGCUUGCACUAAUUAUGAUAAUGCUAAACUAUAUAGUUGAGAAUAACUUAGGAAAUAUUCUUGUAGUUCGUUCUAAUUCCAUGCUAUUGACUUUCUAGAGUAUCUAAUUGAGGUGCUUAUCAUAUAUUUAUAUGUGGCUGAUCAGAAUAAUUAUCUUUGUCACUAUUCAUUAUUUCAUAUAUCUUUUAUGUGACACUUAUCCCUGUAUGAAAGAGUUAGUUAAAUGUUCUCAAUUAUACAUGCAAUGAUAGAUACUCAAUCUCAUAUUUUAUUCUGUAAUCAAUAUUGAUGAUUGCUAAUCCCUUCCCAGUGGUAAAAAUAUAAAUAACGAUACCUAGAAUACUUCCGGGUUAAAAUGCUUCAUCGGUAUUAAUCGGUGCGCUUGCAAAUCCCAUUCAUUAUUUGUUUAGAAGAACAAUUGCAUAUUUCAAUACCGCGUCUCUCAUAUCAUGCUGGGGAUGACAACUUGGCUUAAGUGGUAUGAGGGAUAGGUUUGGCAUUUUUGGCACCGUUACUAGAUUUAGAGAACUAAGUCUACUUUUGGUAAUGAUGUUAAGAAUACCCAACAGAUGCAUGAUGGCAGCCAAAGUGGGAGCGUUGUUGCCGAUUGAAGAGAUCGGACCUGAUGGAAAAAGGUCAAUCGGCUUGCCACUCCUGCUGACCGAUGGGGGAACGUUAUCAACCUACAAUAUAAUACAGAAAGUGAGUUACUGAUGGAGAUAAAAUUGAAGGAAUUGAAACAUCUGUUUAGAAACACUUACAGUAUUAUAAGGAACUUUAUACUGGGGGUCGAUCAUGCCGCGGUACGUAAGUGCUGAUUUGCAGAACAAAUGUUCCUUCCAUUCCUCCCACCAUUGUUUGUACGCCUGAGUAAUGAAGAGGGCCGGGAUCCACUCUGAUAGAUCUACAUCUAUGUCGGCAUUCGGUGACAGCUGGGCUACUCGGAUCCACUCGAGAAGGUUAGUGAUGGCUUCCCUGGGUUUUAUCACAUCGGCAUAACAGAGUGCAAUCGACAGCUGGCCGAAAGCUAGUUGACGGGCUAGUGCCGAUGGGUUGCAAAACUCAUAGGUUUGGUUGGAGGUUUUCCCACUGCCGAAGAAGUUUGCUGGUAUAGCUCUGGGAGUGAUCAGUGCCAUCAUCACUUCGUGAUCCUUGUUGAGAGCAUUGUUGAACGGAUGGAAGACCAAAGGAAACAUGGUGUCUGGAUCUUCAUAAGGCAUCCAUGCUCGCUGUUCUCUGGUUAGGCCUUCAUACAGGGUUUGGAAGAAUCGGCUGACUUGGUCUGCAUUGCCUCCUGUACCGGGCAGGACUAUGGCAGCCUCGCCAAAGUUUAGAGGAGGGCGAGUUGCCGAUUCUUCUUCAUCUAGUUCAUAGUCCUCGGCUAUAUCCCUGGGGAAGCGCUGUGCGAAGAGGUCAAACUCAAGGCGCUUGUGCAUGUGGAGACUGAGCCACAUGUUGAUAAACCACUAGGGACCCCCCAAGUUUUCGAUGGACUGGCCGAGCAGGAGUUUCCUGGUUACUUGAUGAAGGAGGUGGUAAGCCGCGCCAAGUAGGUAUCGGCCGAGGGGAAAUCGGCCACCAUUGGCUAAUCUUUCUGCUGCUGCUAGGUAGACGGAAGUUGGUCCUGCCGAUCGACCACAAAAUACGAAUUUGUCUAACCACAUGUUCAGAAAGCUGGUCUAUUCCUUUAUGUUAACAGGGCCUGUUCGUUCGUAUUUUUGGAUGUAUCCUGACCAACCACCGAUGGAGCGAGUUUCUACCUUAGCACUGGGUUUGGUAUCAAAAAAGUGGGUGCUAUCGGCUGGUGAGCAUAACCACAUCGGCAAGUGUAGGGGAAGCAGGGCCAUGGCCGAAGACAAAGGCAUUGAGUGUGUCUGACCAGAAAUAUGAUGCAGCUAUCAACAGUGACUCAUUCCUAUGCAUAUCGGCAAUGGACAACCUGAUGCAUUGGUCCAGUUUUCUCUCGCCCCACUGGACUUCAUUUGAGUGGCUGACUCUUAAAAACCAAUCCUUCCAUCCCACGGUAGGACUGGGCCAGGAACGGAAGGUAUCCUUCCAUAGAUCCAGAGAGAAAUUCUCGGCUCUAAAGGGGAUUCUAUUUGUUUCUGCGUUAAUAAGAUCGGUGGGAUCUGGAUCCCCUAACGGACCAAGACAUUGAAGAUGUGGUUGAUCGGUAGGGAUUGCAAUUUUGUUGGACAGAUCCUAAUGGUUUUGAGGGUAAAAAGAAGAGCAAAAGAAAAAAAGAAGAAGAAGAAUGUUCAGUAAAAUAAAUUGCGGAUAAACAGAGAUAUGGCAAAAAGUACAGGAAGUAGGGUGAUGAACUGACCUCGGGGACAGCGAAGUUGAUGGCCAUCUCCUCGCGAAAAGGAUGAUCGAAGACUUUGAGGUUGAUGAAGAAAGGGCUUCGUUGGAGUUCUUGGAGCUCUCGAACAGCGCCGCCGCUGGGAAAGUGGAGUUGGGGCUGUAGAAUGAUGUGAUGGGGAAGGAGUACCCGAGAAGGAACUAUUUAUAGGACAAAACGGGUAGGGGCAAAUCUGACUUAUCUCUUCGCCAUAUCCGUGAAAUCUGAGGGUACUCAGGUAGAUAUGGUAACUGUUCACACGGUAAUCAAGGGAUUGUGCAGGUGAUUUGACAGCAAGCGGUCAUAAUCCAGAGAUAUUUCACUGUGCGGGAUCUCCUGGUCGGUCCAUCGGCAGCGCCUUGUAACGGUAAUAUUGCCGAUGGGCGAGUAAAGUGGGGAUGACCGUUUGGGAGGUUGAGAUAUUUUGCUGUGCGGGACUUCCUGAUCGGUCCAUCGGUAGCUCCUUGUAACGGUAAUGUUGCCGAUGGGCGAUUAAAGUGGGGAUGUCCGUUUGGGAAGUUGAGGAAUUCGAGGAAUCUGCGGAAGAAUCGGGCCAAGGUUGUUCAGAUUUAGGCUGUUGGUUACAAAAUUGGGAGAGUUAAUUGUGGAAAGGCAUCAUUACUGCAGAGAACUUCAGAGCAUUAAUGAUUUCAUACUCCGAAAUUGGGGGCAUGUGUUGACACCAUUUUUGGACAUGUACCCAGGAUCGGUAGAAUGUGGAUCGGCAAGAAAGGGUGACAGUAACUGGUAUGCAGGGGAGUUGCCGAUGAGGGUAGUUGCCGAUGAGAAGAUAGCUAAAUGUGGCUAAGUCCAUGGGUAGUGAUGUGUUUAUGCCGAUGGCCGGUAUUAACCGUUGCCGUUGGGGAGUCUGCCGAUGACACGGAAGGAAGACUUGAAGGUUGCCAAUUGGUCCGUGGAGGUGUCCCAGUUUGUCACGGAAGGAUAUUUUUAUGUUUCCUUAGUUAUUUAAAUCGUUUUGUACACAGGUUCUGUUUAAAUUUGGAAUUCGAGUUCUAGCCGUGUCUGGUUGUAGCUCUUUGAGCAGGGUAUAAAUGUAGACGCUAGGGCCUUGUAAUCGAGACAUCAAUCAAUCAAUCAAACACAAGUUUUUACUCAUAUUUCAGCAUCUACUUUUUCGACGACUUCGUCAUAUUUUCUUUUCAUUACGAGUUCUUAGGAGUUCGUCGACUUAAGCUCGGCGUAUUCUCAAGUUCCGUGUUCCGGGCGCAUCGCUGUUGUCGGGACCAAAGUAUUCGAGUUAUCACCUUUGCCGAUAGUAAGGUCAAAUCGGCUGGCACGCCUUAACGUUUGAGAUUGGGUAUUAGCCCUUUGUGUUUGCAGAUCUAGCUUUUGCAUCAACACUUGUAAAAUUGCUCAGCAAAUACACAAAGGUCAUAAGAAAAACUAGAAGUGAAAAUGAAAAACUUGAACUUGAAAAUGAAUCACUUCUAGCAAAGCUUAAAUCUAGCGAUGAGUUUAGAGAUCAAAAUGAGAUCAUGACCACUAAGCUCAAGGAGCUCAAACUCUCCUUAAAAGAGCUCAAAGAAAAACAUGAUAAACUUGAGAGUGUUCAUGAUGAGCUUAUCACUAGACAUAGAGCUUUGAAGGAAGAGCUAACAACUCUAAAAGCAAACUAUGACAACCUUGAGAUAGCUUAUGAUCUUGCAAUCAAUGAUACACAUGUUGCUACUAACCAUGUUGUUAAGCUUGAUGUAGCCACAUCUUGUGAUGACUUACUUGUGAAGAGCACAAGCAAAUGUGUUGAUUCUAAGGGCAAGAAAGUGGUAGUGGCCGAGAGCUUUGAGGACACUAUCAAGCUCAAGGAAGAAAAUGUCAUGCUCAAGAAAGAGUUGCAAGAGCAAGCCAAGCACAACACAAUUGUGAUUGAGUCACUUGAUCAAGACAAGAAGCUUGCAUAUGAGAACAAGUUGCUCAAAGAAGAGAAUCAUUAUCUCAAGCUUGGUUUGAUGUAUGACAAGCAAGAAGAAAAUGAGUCAUUCAUCUUAGAAGAGUUAGCAAGCAACAAUGACCCAAUCAUCAAGAAGCUAACUCAAGAGAAUAUCAAGCUUAAGAAAGAGAAGGAACAUCUAACCAAGGGGUUAGCAAAGUUCACAAAAGGAAAGGACCUUCAAAGUGAGCUAUUCAUGAACACCAUCUAAAGAUGGACAGGAGUGGGAUUGGCUACAAGGCUCAUCAAACAAAGCUCAUCAAAUCCCUAGCCACUCAUGAUCAACCAAGCAAGCCAAAGCCAAAGAGAUGUUUUGAGUGUGGUCAAGAAGGACACUUUGCUCAUGAGUGUGAGGCACCGCUACCACGACCCUUGCCCAAGCAUGCUAGACCAUUUGCCUUCAAUUCUCACUACAUUGUAAGGAAAGACAAGAGUGGCAAGAUCAAGGUUAGCUUCAUGGGGCCGCCAAAUAAGCAAAGGCCAAAGAAGAUUUGGGUGCCAAAGCAACUAGUAGAGAAGGUCAAGGGCCCUAAGCAAAUGUGGGUCCCUAAAUCUCAAGCUUGAUCUCUUGUGUGUAGGUGAACUACAAGACUGGUGGAUCACAUUGGGUAAUUGAUAGUGGUUGCACUCAACAUAUGACCGGAGAUCCCUAGAUGUUCACCUCACUUGAUGAAGAUGUUGACAACCAAGAGAAGAUCACAUUUGGUGACAAUUCAAAAGGCAAGGUCAAGGGUCUAGGAAAGGUUGCAAUAUCAAAUGACAACUCCAUCACCAAUGUGCUAUAUGUGCCAUCAUUGAGUUUCAAUUUCCUCUCGGUUGGACAACUUUGUGAUCUUGGUUUUGAAUGUUUAUUCAAGAAGAAGGAAGUAAUAGUGACCAAGGAGGAUGACAAUGAAAUGGUAUUCAAAGGCUUUCGACACAACAACUUAUACAUAGUUGAUUUCUCAUCCGAUGAAGUUGAUGUCAAGACUUGCUUAUUCACCAAGACCUCACUUGGGUGUUUGUGGCAUAGAAGGUUAGCACAUGUUGGAAUGGGCACACUCAAGAAGUUGAUGAAGAAAGAAUUGAUUAGAGGCUUGAAGGAUGUGACCUUUGAAAAGGACAAGCUUUGUAGUGCAUGUCAAGCUAGCAAGCAAGUUAAAAAACACUCAUCCAACCAAGGCCUAUCUCUCUACUUCAAGAGUGCUUGAGCUACUCCAUAUGGAUUUAUUUGGACCAACCACAUACGCUAGUCUUGGAGGCAACAAGUAUUGCUUGGUCAUAGUUGAUGAUUACUCCCGGUACACUUGGACAUUCUUCUUGCAAGACAAGGCCGAAGUUGCAUCAAUAUUCAAGAAGUUUGCAAAGAAUGCCCAAAAUGAAUUUGAUGUCAAGAUCAAGAAAAUUAGAAGUGAUAAUGGCAAAGAGUUUGACAACACCAACAUUGAAGAAUAUUGUGAUGAAGUUGGAAUCAAACAUGAGUUCGCCUCAACAUACACACCACAACAAUAUGGGGUUGUAGAAAGAAAGAACCGGACAUUGAUCACCUUGGAAAGAACAAUGCUUGAUGAGUACAACAUUUCGGAAAAGAUGUGGGCUGAGGCAAUCAACACCGCAUGCUAUGUAUCAAACCGGCUCUUUCCUCACAAGUUUCUAGAGCAGACACCAUAUGAGUUGCUCAAUGGGAAGAAGCCCGAUGUCUCAUUCUUUAGAGUGUUUGGAUACAAAUGCUACAUCUACAAGAAGCUCCAACACUUGGGAAAGUUUCAAAGAAGGUGUGACAUUGGCUACUUGGUUUGCUAUUCUCAAAGUCCAAGGCAUAUAGGGUCUUUAACCAUGCCACAAACAUGGUUGAAGAAACAUUUGAUGUUUAAUUUGAUGAAACUAAUGGCUCCCAAGGAGCAAGUGAUAAUCUUGAUGAUGUAGGUGGUGAACCAUUGAGGGAUGCUAUGAAGAACUUGCUGGUGGGGGACAUCAAGCCAAAAGAAGAUGAUGAUGUGCAUAUCAUUGAGCCAUCAUCCACCUCACAUGCACCACAAGAUGAAGACAAGGAUGUGAGAGAUGCUCAUGAAGACACUCAAGUCACUCAUGAGCAAGCGGUGGCACAAGCACAAGAUGUUGAUGCUCCCCAAGCAACCCCUCAAGUGGCGCCAAGAAGAUCAUCACAUCUCCUCCAAGAUCACUCUCACGAUCUCAUCAUUUGGAGUCCAGCACGUGGUGUAACUACACGCUCUAGACAUGCUUUAUUUAUUGAACAUCACGCUUUUGUGUCUCUUGAAGAUGAACCAAAGACAAUAGAGGAAGCUCCUCGUGACGCGGAUUGGAUCAUUGCCAUGCAAUAGGAGUUGAACAACUUCUCUCGCAACCAAGUUUGGACACUUGAAGAGCGACCCAAAGAUGCAAGAGUGAUUGGGACAAAGUGGGUCUUCCGGAACAAGAAAGAUGAUCAAGGUAAGGUGGUGCGCAAUGUUGACGGUCCUUAAGUAUCAAAUUUAAUUAUCAAAUAAAUAAAGAAAAGGAUCCAAAUGAAAUCAACAUCUAGACUUAGGGUUUUAUCUGACUUAAUUCUACGAGUUUUGGUGUUUGUCUAUUUCUACAGGGGGUUAUCAGGAAAUACGGAAGAAAGGCCCACACGUCGGGAUUACAUAGAGAUAUUAACGUGCCGCGCAAUUAUCUUACAUCCAGAAGACUCCAGAAGCCACGGGAAGAAAGCGGAGGCCGAAGAGGGCCAGAGGCAGGGCGCCCACCGUCCUUCCCUGGGCGCCCGCCCUGACUUGGAGUCCAAUCAGGACUCUGUUUCGUGGGAGAUCUCCACUGACCUAAAGGAUCAAGGAUAACCGUUCAAUCAAUGUCGGUUUGAUCCAACAGCCCAUAUUCACUUGAAGGCACUAUAAAACCAGACCCCCUGGCCCCUGGAGGAGAGAGACUCUCAACCCUAAUUUAUUGUUCCUCAAGGGAGAAGAAGCCUCUGAUCAAGAUUAGAGCCACCACAUCAAUUAGAUAUCUAGAUUAGCAUAGCUACAUAGGAUUAGAACUAGAAGGAGUCAAUCUUUGAUUGGUUUCCGGAUCUAUCAAGAGGAUUCUUGGUAAUUCUCUAAUCGUGCUUCUAAUUGCUUUCUAAUCAUCUUUGUUCUUCAAUAUUAUGAAUAUGACUUUGUUCUACUUCAAUAUAUUGCUUAUGACUUUGCUCUACAUGCUUAUAUUCAAGAUUAUAUUGUUCUUAGUUUAUCAUAGUUAUGUACUUGGCUUAGUUAGAUUGGAUCUAUAUACAUGCUUAGGAUCGUAUAGCGUUUAUCCAUCGGAUCCAUGGGUAAAUGAUAGAUAUUGUGUAGGCGUGGUGCUUAUACCCUAUUUAUCUGCGAUUGUACCCAAUAUGCUAGAUCGUGGGAUAGUUCGUGAUAGUGACAACUUCAUUGAUUCUUAUAUAGUCCCCCUCUCGUGUAUUGGGCUGGCAGAGUGUUGACACCAGAAGUGGCAAACGGUUAUACCGCAAGCGUACGGUAGUCAAUGUAGCCUUCACCGGGAGUAUUCCAGGUAUCGUGAUUUCCACGGGGAACGCGAAGUGAAUUAACUAGGCUUUAGAUCGUUAGGUGAUGAUCAAAGGGUCUAGGAUAAUGGGGUAGAGAGGUCUAACUAGUAUUAAUGCCUGGUCUUGGUAAUUAAGUAUAGUCAAGGUUUUUCACCUAACUCUUUACUGAGGGCGAUACCCGAAAAGGAGGAUUGAGUUAACGAGGUUUUUCACCUCCCCGUCUCCUAUGCGACUACCCUGCUUAGCCCAACUAUUAUUUGCAACUUGCCUACAACAGAUGCGAGGAGCUUUCCGCCUAGCGAGGACUGUCACUCUCACACUAGGUGUCUACACAACUGCGACAAGGAGUCCACACUGGCAAGAAGUAGUCUAGACACCACGUCUAAACUAGCUCUUGCUACCCUAAGCUUAGCUAAAGCUAAGAGCACUCAAGAUCAAGCAAUGUGCCAGUAAAGGAUUCUUAUACUUAAAGUACCAGACCAAAUAUUAAAUACUAGAAAAGACUCAGAAGUAAGACUUACAAGAAGACCUGCUUCCGCUGAGGUGCUCCGCGAAGAAGACUCCCGACAGGCCGGGACUCCUCCUUGGAACUCCUCACUCUCUACUCACUAUGAUAGCACUAAGCUACUAAAGUAGUUUACUCCUAAGAUACAUGACAUUUAAGUGAAGGAAUAGGGGGGUAUUUAUAGUGGGAGAUGGAGUAGGGGCUACUCCGGUGCCACGUCAGCGAUCCGCGUCAUCUUCAUCAUGCACCAUUGGAUCAAACCGACUUCACAACCGCCAUCUGAUCAACGGUAGAGGCAAACUAACAUGUGCAACAUGUGGGCAAGGUCGGUGGGAGGCCAACCGACCCUGGAACCGCCAUGAAGUGGGGUCGGCCGACCCCCUAUCUGGCUGGUUGGGCCCACCUGCAGUGUCCUGGAGGCUCUCUGAUGUCGGUGGAGUUGAGCUGACCUGUGGGACCCACCAAAGUGGGGUCGCCCGACCCCAAUUCUAUGGGGUUAGGGUGUCAGCCCUGUCCUACAUGUCUUCCUCUUCAUGACUAUAAUGUUGUCUUGGUUACUGGUGUCACUGAUCUUUAGUUAUUCACCCCUUCUUAGUGUUUGGACCCUUGAAAAGUACCUGUUCUUACUCCUGCAACCAAAUAGUAGCAUGUACAUGUGGAACUAGGUUAUAUGUACCUAUAUUACUACUUUGUUUGGUUGUUUUCUCCCAAAAUGAGUCUUAUGUUGACGGUUAUGAUAGUAGAAAACAUGGUAUAAAUACCGUCAACAAGACCCCCCACACUUGAGUCUUUGCUCGUCCUCGAGUAAAGGUUAAAAAUGAGUGAUCAAUGAUUUCUAACUUAAGAUAGUAGUGAGCAUAAAAUGCUAGUUCGAACAUAGUUCAUCCAAAUGGGUUUUUGUGUAAGUGUCUAGCAUAUAUCCUUCAGAGGUUGAGAAAAGGAACAAUUCUCAGAACAAGAUCAAAUUCCAAUUUCAUAUUCUUGGUACUUAGAGUUUUUAUGACACUUUUUAAAAUAAGUCACAUAGUUCAAUCCUACUCCUCAUUUAGCGCUCUAGAUCACUCAAAGUUUUUUAGUAGUCCUCACCAAGGCAUGAAUGCCAACUUGUUUCAUCCUAUAAUUAUAGGCUUAUAUGGGGCUUGGUAGGGAUAAACAAGGUAGCAUACUCUACUUUGCAAAUAUUGUUAAGUCAAAAACAAGGAUCCAAAGAGAGGAGUGUCAUAGUCAUAGAUCAAGAUGUGCAAGUGUGUUAUAUGGUGGACUAGGUUGCUCCUUUAUUUACUACACUCUCUCUACUUGUAUAUUGAGACAUGGCUAGAUUUUCUUUUUCUUCGAGCUUUAUGUGCUCAAUUUUUUUUUCAUGGACUUGCACAUGUCCAUCUUUUCUUUUUCUUUUAUUUUGCCAAGCCCUUUUAUGUCUCAUUUUCUAAACAAUAUUUAGAGAGGUGUUCUAACACUUAGAGUAUGGAGCAACCUAUUUAGUGGAUGCACAAUACAUGUGGUUGCGUACUUCCAGUGUAGAAGCAGCAUAUAUAUAUGUGGUGUGUACGUGAUCUUGAUCUUGUGACUAUGAUACAACUCUCACUAGGGUCAACAAGGUUUUGACAAAACUCAUUACAAAAGCAGGUUGCAUUUCAUAAAAUGGUUACUUGAAUAUCUAAGUGUAUGGCUUUUAGUGGGAAUUUCUUGCUAAUGAGGAGUAAAUGAUACUAUGGUUUUGUGAUAUUUUUGAAACAAAUCUCUAAGUACCUUGAAUAGAAAUGUUAUGAAUUCUUAGCCAAGAGUUAUAUCACUUUCAUCAACAACUUAGUCAAUAUGGUUCCUAUAGAUUUUUACCCAUGAGGAUGAACAAUUGUAAGAACUAUACUUUAUGUCACUAUUUCUCUUAAAUCAUGUACCAGUUCACUUUUUAUUUUGCAAACAAGUUUAAACUAUCAAAUUUUAUUUUAAUUGUGACACAAAGGUAAAGAAUUGGACAGACUGAGAGGGGGAAGAAUUAGCAAACCGGGCAGGAAAGAUGUCUUUCGUCGUAUAGAAGCUGCCUGGUGGGCCCAGGGCUCCAUGGAAGGGUCGGCCGACCCCACCUGGAGGUUCCUGGCCCUGCCACUCGAUUCUACGUCCCUCGGGAAGUCUUUCUGCACUUGUGUCGUUUCCUUUUGCCAUAGAAAGGGGGUCGGGCGACCCCCUCAUCGCGCCUGUUUUUGGUGCCAUGACGUGCCGAGGUGUAUGCAGUGUUGUUCCAUGCUCACGGCAGUUCAGAGAUGAAGUUGAGUUUUCGUGCAGCUGAACUUGCAACAAAGAGAGAUGAUCAAAUGCAGACGUCCUGCUGGUGGCAACACACCAGCAGGACCAAAAACAACUCUAUUAAAUCAAAUUUCAAUUGUAUAGGCACUUUUACAUUGUGAAAUUCAAAGUGACAAAUUGGAAAAUAAAAUUGAGUAAUCAAACCUAAAUAAUUAAAUAGUGCCUAUAACCUAAACUAACUAAUUUAUUUAGGGAGAUGGAGGUUUGAGGAGAUCCUCCCGCCCAAUUGCUUGUGCCAAACGCUUGAUUUUAGCGCUGGUGCUAAUGCGCAGGUGGCGGAAGUGAUCUUCUAACUCAAGAUUCUCCAUCCUGAGCUCCGACACUGUCUCCUCUAAGAUCCUAUUUUUCUUUCUAAGGCUAGCUGUGACUUCCAGGAGCUUCUCGAUGUCGCCUUUUUCUGGAUCUUCGUAUUUGCCAGGCGCACCGUUGAUCGGAGUUGGAUCCAUCUUCCGCCGGAUGGAUGGACUUGCUGACGAGUCAAAGGACUCUCGCAACUCCAUCUUUUCCUUAGAGUUCAACGGCGGGAUCAGCACCUUCCCCUUUCCCGGCCCACCGCCCACCACUUGGUGGUUCCUCCAAAAGGUUGGGGUGGACGGCGAGUAGGAAGAGGUGUGGAUCGUGUCGGAGGAGAUGGUGAUGGCCUGCUUGGUGGCCAUCGGCGCCUUCUCCCGCAGCGCAAGUUGGCCCGUGGUAGGUCGAACCGGCGUUACGGCUCGAGCAGGGGACUUGCCGAUGCCCCUGCGCGGUGUGAGCGAACGAGAGGCCGACGCGGAGCACUGGGUCACCCGGGGCGAGGUCGGGCGACCCCUCUUGGGGUCGGGCGACCCCCACAUGGGGCCCGUCGGCCCUCCAGCCGGCGGCACCAUGGCUAGUGGUUCAGGCUCCAGCACGUUGACGGCUAGGGCAAACUCCAGGCUCUCAGUUAGAGACCUUUGCGGACGUGGGGAGUUGGAGCGAAUGGCUUGGUUGGAAGAUUUAGUUGGAGGAGCCAUGGAGAUGGAUCUCUUGGCAAGGAAUGGAGGCUAGGAGAGUCUGGUUCGAGGUGAAGAUGAGAAGGAAUGAAUUGAGGGGAGGAAGAAGAAGAAGAGGGGGGAUAAAUAGAUGUGUUUGGAGCCUGAGAGUUUGAAUUUUGAAAAGGAGCGUCGUGGAACGUUUGAGGGACGAUCCGAGACUCCAGGGGAUUUCAAAACUCAAAAUAUUGGGGGUCGGGCGACCCCUAUAUUUCAGGAUUUUGAAUUUCACCACCGAACUCUAUUCAUUCCCCUCUUUCUAAACCUAUUCCCCCUUGGGCCAAAACCCCUAGAAGAGGGGUCGGCCGACCCCCAUUUGGGGUGUUCGGCGGCCCAACUUUGAUCCUACAUCAUCUAAAACCCUUUUAAAACCUAUUUCCAAACAAAAGGAACUAAAUAUAUUGGUUUAGCAAAAUUUUUUUUUUAACAAAAGGAGGUAAAAAGAAGGACAUGUGGAUUUUAAGACUUUAUGUCAGAUUCAAAUUCUAUCAUAUCAACUUCUUUUUCUAAAGGUUCAUGUUCAUGGAAAACUUUAAGACGAUGACCAUUUACCUUAAAGAUGUUGCCGUCGUCGUCCCGCAGUGUUACCGCUCCAUGAGUCGCGGCGUCAACAACGAAGAAUGGUCCUUCCCAUUUGCUCCUUAGCUUUCCAUGGCCAAAUAACUUGACCCUUGAGUUGAACAUGAGAACCUUAUCCCCAGGAUGAAAUUCCUUUUGCUUGAUCCUUUUAUCAUGCCAUCUUUUUGUUCUCUCUUUGUAGAUCCUGGCAUUGUGAUAGGCUUUAUCUCUCCAUUCUUCUAGUUCGGAGAUUUGGAGCUUUCUAUUUCUUCCGGCCGAGGGCAAAUCCAUGUUCCAUUUCUUGAUUGCCCAGUGAGCUCUAUGCUCUAGCUCUACCGGUAGAUGGCAUGUCUUACCGUAUACAAGUUGGUAUGGUGUCAUACCAAUUGGGGUCUUGUAUGCGGUCCUGUAUGCCCAAAGUGCAUCUGGUAGAUGGCUUUUCCAGCCGGUUCCCAUCUUAGUGACAGUCUUCUGCAGAAUGUUCUUGAUUUGUUUGUUAGAUGUUUCUGCUUGUCCGCUCGUUUGAGGGUGAUAGGGUGUUCCAAUGUUGUGCCUUAUCCCCACUUCAGCUAAGAACCGUCGGAAUCUUCUGUCAAUGAAGUGGCUCCCUCCAUCACUGAUAACUAGUCUGGGGGUGCCGAAGCGUGGAAAUAUGACUUCCUUGAACAUCUUUAUCGAAUGUGUAGAGUCGGCUGCUCUGCAGGGCAUUGCUUCGACCCACUUGGACACAUAGUCUACUGCCACUAGGAUGUAUUCACACCCUUGUGACAAAGGGAAUGGCCCCAUGUAGUCUAUGCCCCAAGCAUCGAAUAUCUCGACUUGUAAGUUGUUUGUGAGUGGCAUUGCAUCACGAGUAUUGAUGUUCCCAUGCUUCUGACACCUUGCACAUCUCCUCACGAAGUUCUUUGUAUCUUCGUACAUGGUAGGCCAGUAGAAUCCACUCUGCCAUAUCUUGGCAUGGGUCCUGAAUGCUCCAUAGUGGCCUCCGUACUCUGCCCCAUGGCAUUUUUCCAUUAUUUUUACUGCCUCGUCCAUGGGAACACAUCUCCUGAGUAUGCCAUCUUGACAGACUCUGUAGAGGUAAGGAUCGUCCCAUAGGUGCACCCUACUCUCUUUAACAAGCUUCUUCUUGUCUACCCCAGGUGGUAUGUAUCCGGACGCCAGGUAGUUGACUAUGUUUGCAUACCAUGGGUAGGCUUCUGAAACUCGGAGGAGUGUGUCGUCUCGAAGGUAGUCGUUGAUAGGUGGAUCCUGUUUAUCCUCGAUUUGCAUCCUAGACAAGUGAUCGGCUACCGAGUUUUCUACUCCCUUUUUAUCUCUAAUUUCUAAGUCAAAUUCUUGGAGUAGUAGGAUCCAUCUUAUUAAUCUUGGUUUAGCAUCUUUUUUAGUGAGCAAGUAUUUUAGAGCUACGUGAUCGGAGUAAACAAUCACCUUUGCUCCAACUAAAUAAGAUCUAAACUUGUCUAUAGCAAACACUACAGCCAACAGUUCUUUUUCAGUUGUUGCAUAAUUCAGCUGUGGUCCUGUUAGUGUUUUGCUAGCAUAAGAUAUUGCAUGAUGCUUCUUAUCUUUAGUCUGUCCUAAGACAGCACCUACAGCGUAAUCACUAGCAUCACACAUUAUCUCAAAAGGUAGCGACCAAUCAGGGGGUUGAAUGAUUGGUGCAGAGAUAAGUGCUUUCUUAAGAUAGUAAAAGGAAUCCAAGCACUCAUCAUUAAAAUCAAAGGGUGCAUCCUUAGCUAACAGGUUUGUUAAAGGUCUAGCAAUUUGAGAGAAAUCUUGUAUGAACCUUCUAUAAAAGCCUGCAUGGCCAAGAAAGCUACGGACGCCCCUAACAUUUGUGGGAGGAGGGAGCUGUUCUAUAACUUCAAUUUUAGCUCUAUCUACCUCUAUCCCACGUUCGGACACUCUAUGUCCUAACACUAUCCCUUCUCGAACCAUAAAAUGGCACUUUUCCCAGUUCAAGAUCAAGUGCUUCUCUUGGCACCUUUGUAAGACUCGGUCCAGGUUCUUUAGGCAAUCAUCAAAAGUUUUCCCAUAGACGGAGAAGUCGUCCAUGAAAACUUCCAUGAUUUCCUCGAUCAUAUCGGAGAAGAUGGACAUCAUGCACCUUUGAAAAGAGGCAGGAGCAUUGCAUAGGCCAAAAGACAUGCGCCUAUAUGCAUAUGUUCCGUAGGGGCAUGUGAAUGUAGUCUUACUUUGGUCGUCGGGAUGGAUUGGGAUUUGAUGGUAACCCGAAUACCCAUCAAGGAAGCAGAAGAAAGAGUGUUUGGCUAACCGUUCCAGCAUCUCAUCGAUGAAUGGCAACGGAAAGUGGUCUUUCUUAGUGGCCUUGUUAAGUUUUCGGUAGUCUAUGCACAUUCUCCAUCCCGUGACGGUCCGUUGAGGAAUGAGUUCAUUGUUGUCAUUUUUAACGACCGUCAUUCCUCCUUUCUUAGGAACUACUUGAACGGGGCUGACCCACUCACUGUUCGGAACAGGGUAGAUUAUGCCCGCAUGCAAUAGUUUUAAGACCUCUUUCUUCACAACUUCUCUCAUCGCAUUAUUUAGCCUUCUCUGAGGCUCCCUGGAAGGUAUAGCAUCGGGUUCGAUAGGGAUGCGAUGAGUGCAGAGUGCAGGACUAAUUCCCUUAAGGUCUUCUAACGAGUAUCCUAAGACAGAGCGGCGUUCUUCUAAGACGGUGAUGAGUUUGGUGACUUCUUCUUCUGUCAGUUGAUCACUAAUGAUUACCGGAGUCUCUCUAUCACCAUUAAGGAAGGCGUACUUAAGUCCAGAGGGAAGUGGCUUAAGUUCUAUAGAGGGUUUUGGUGGUGGUUUAGAUUCAUCCAAGUCUAAUGGUUCUUCUAAUUUGUUCUCUUCUUCUUGGAUGAAGUUUUCGGCGUCUUCUUCUAAGUCAGGCUGAGAAGUGUCCAGAAGAGAUGCCGAUAUCACCUCCUCUAUUGGGUCAGGCUCGGGCGGGGUCUCGGCUUUAGAAUUAAUAGAGCCGGCAAAAGGCAUAGAAAGGUCUAAGCCCUUCCCGAGGUUACCCUUGAAACGCCCUUCAUGAAAUCCAUUUAGGAACCUCAUGAUGGGGUGCCCGAUUAACAAGUCAACUUCUUUCAUAUCAAAGAUAAAGAAGUUUAGCAGAAUGUUGACUUUGUUAAUGGAGACAGGAAUAUUCUGUGCAAUCCCACAACUCUCGACCAUUUCCCCAGAGGGUAAUUUAAGAAAUUUGCUGGUCGGGGUUAAUGGUUCCUCGCCUAGGAGUGUCAGUACUAAUGACUUGGACAUUAGGCUUACUCCUACAGCAGGGUCAUAAAGGGAUUCUAUAGGAGUGGAGUUUAUGACACAGGGAAUGGGUGUAAAACUCGAGAGAAGUUUGAUGACAUCAGAUGAUGUCUCAGCUUCUCUAAACCAUUCAUUACUCAUAAUAGCCGUGAGUUCUUGGGCAGUUGCCCUGAGGUAACCAGCCUCAAGAUGAGCUGGGAUAUGGCUAUUCGGAGCUCUGCGUGUUGUAGAUCUCCUUUGCACAGGUUGAUUCGAGACAUUGCCAAAAUCGGCAAAUAGAUCAGUCUCGAUGUUAAGUGGGUAAUCCAAGGGAUGAAUUACUUCUUCCCUUGGAGGUGCUUGUGGUAUUGGUUCAGGUUCGACAGCUUGGGUUGCGGCUAAAGGAGUUUUGGCUGUCGAAGGUUCAUCCCUAGGAGUUCGAUCUUCCUCAGGAGCUUCAAUAUGAUCAUCAGUGUAAGGGGUAUUCUCGAGAAUAGUCCCAAGAAUGGCCUUACCUUCACUGAUAGGUAAAUGAAGGAAUGCUCCCUUAGAGGCUAAAUCAAGGAAUUGUGCGGAUUGUUGGCUAAGUCCGAGGUAAAAAUGUUGCAUAAGAAUUGGCUCGGUUAUACCUAAGUCUGGGCCAGAUGAUGUUAAGUCGGUGAGACGCGCCCAGGCCGCACCUAAAGACUCCUUCCCUUCUUGCUUGGGACUUCUCUACGGAGACGAGCUAUUCUAGAGAUGGGAAAGUAGGUGAGGCAGAAUUUGGCUUGCAGCUUUUCCCAUUCUCCUCCUACACUACCUGCAUAGCGAGUGUACCACUGUCUGGCCUUUCCUGUCAAAGAGAACGGAAAGAGCUUCCACUUGAGGGUAACUCGCCUCAUCCCUUGGAUGUGGAUGCAUGAACAAAGUUGUUCGAAAUCUCGUAGGUGUGUGUAAGGAUUUUCAUCUCCUUCUCCCGAAAAGGGAUUCUCCUGAACCAUCGCUACGAGACUCGGGCGAAGCUCAUAGUGACAGGCCAAAAUGGCUUUUGAUGAACUCGCUGGCUCCAACUCAGCGCCCGUUGGAGCAGCGUAAUCGAAGAGGGUUGUUUGAUCCAUUUGGAUAUGUGUAUAAAGUUUUAAAUCAAACAAAGAUAACUUAACGAUUUUUUUUGUCCUAGUUAAAACAGCUACCGUUCCCCGGCAACGGCGCCAGAAAGCUUGUUGACACCAGAAGUGGCAAACGGUUAUACCGCAAGCGUACGGUAGUCAAUGUAGCCUUCACCGGGAGUAUUCCAGGUAUCGUGAUUUCCACGGGGAACGCGAAGUGAAUUAACUAGGCUUUAGAUCGUUAGGUGAUGAUCAAAGGGUCUAGGAUAAUGGGGUAGAGAGGUCUAACUAGUAUUAAUGCCUGGUCUUGGUAAUUAAGUAUAGUCAAGGUUUUUCACCUACCUCUUUACUGAGGGCGAUACCCGAAAAGGAGGAUUGAGUUAACGAGGUUUUUCACCUCCCCGUCUCCUAAGCGACUACCCUGCUCAGCCCAACUAUUAUUUGCAACUUGCCUACAACAGAUGCGAGGAGCUUUCCGCCUAGCGAGGACUGUCACUCUCACACUAGGUGUCUACACAACUGCGACAAGGAGUCCACACUGGCAAGAAGUAGUCUAGACACCACGUCUAAACUAGCUCUUGCUACCCUAAGCUUAGCUAAAGCUAAGAGCACUCAAGAUCAAGCAAUGUGCCAGUAAAGGAUUCUUAUACUUAAAGUACCAGACCAAAUAUUAAAUACUAGAAAAGACUCAGAAGUAAGACUUACAAGAAGACCUGCUUCCGCUGAGGUGCUCCGCGAAGAAGACUCCCGACAGGCCGGGACUCCUCCUUGGAACUCCUCACUCUCUACUCACUAUGAUAGCACUAAGCUACUAAAGUAGUUUACUCCUAAGAUACAUGACAUUUAAGUGAAGGAAUAGGGGGGUAUUUAUAGUGGGAGAUGGAGUAGGGGCUACUCCGGUGCCACGUCAGCGAUCCGCGUCAUCUUCAUCAUGCACCAUUGGAUCAAACCGACUUCACAACCGCCAUCUGAUCAACGGUAGAGGCAAACUAACAAGUGCAACAUGUGGGCAAGGUCGGUGGGAGGCCAACCGACCCUGGAACCGCCAUGAAGUGGGGUCGGCCGACCCCCUAUCUGGCUGGUUGGGCCCACCUGCAGUGUCCUGGAGGCUCUCUGAUGUCGGUGGAGUUGAGCUGACCUGUGGGACCCACCAAAGUGGGGUCGCCCGACCCCAAUUCUAUGGGGUUAGGGUGUCAGCCCUGUCCUACAUGUCUUCCUCUUCAUGACUAUAAUGUUGUCUUGGUUACUGGUGUCACUGAUCUUUAGUUAUUCACCCCUUCUUAGUGUUUGGACCCUUGAAAAGUACCUGUUCUUACUCCUGCAACCAAAUAGUAGCAUGUACAUGUGGCACUAGGUUAUAUGUACCUAUAUUACUACUUUGUUUGGUUGGUUUCUCCCAAAAUGAGUCUUAUGUUGACGGUUAUGAUAGUAGAAAACAUGGUAUAAAUACCGUCAACACAGAGCAAUAUUAUUACAGGGGAGUGAUUGCUAUGUUCCUCAUUUACCUUGCUAAUAUCACUAUGCAUGGGCGUAGUCUUGUCUCGCAAUGAUUGCUAAGUAUGCUUGCACUAACUAUGAUAAUGCUAGACUAUAUAGUUGAGAAUAACUUAGGAAAUAUUCUUGUAGUUCAUUCUAAUUCCAUGCUAAUGACUUUCUAGAGUAUCUAAUUGAGGUGCUUAUCAUAUUUAUUAUGUGGCUAGUUAUGAUCAGAUUAAUUAUCUUUGUCACUAUUCAUUACUUCAUAUAUCCUUUAUGUGACACUUAUCCCUAUAUGAAAGAGUUAAAUAAAUGUUCUCAAUUAUACAUGCAAUGAUAGAUACUCAAUCUCAUAUUCUAUUUUGUAUUCAAUAGUGAUGAUUGUUAAUCCCUUCCCAACGGUAAAAAUAUAAAUAACGAUACCUGGAAUACUUCCCGAUUAAAAUGCUACAUCGGUAUUAAUCUGUGCGCUUGCAGAUCCCAUUCAUUAUUUAUUUAAAAGAGCAAUUGCAUAUUUCAAUACCGCGUCUGUCAUGUCAUGCUGGGGAUGACAACUUGGCUUAAGUGGUAUGAGGGAUAGGUUUGGCAUUUUUGGCACCGUUAGUAGAAUUGGAAAACUGUCUACUUUUGGUAGUGAUGUUAAGAAUACCAAACAAGCAUUUUUGGCACCGUUGCCGGGGAAGGUUGAUUACUAAUCAGGAAUGGAAUAAAGGAUUUUGAGUUAUCAUUCGCAUCACUAAUCUGAUUGAGCUUAUCUAUUCUCUCAUACAGUUUUACCCCGAUAUUUUUCUAUUUUAUCUUAUGCAGGGGAAUGUAUGAAUAGAAGACAUCUUCCAGGAAAUUUUGUUGACAAUCCCGAAGUGUUAUUCAGAAGAACUAGAGCCAAGCUAAAGAAGAGAUCAUCAAUACUUCAGCAAGAAGCUUCAUCCAAUCAAGAAGAUCACCGGAACUUGUCUUCAGAGUUCGAAGCCAUGGCGAACAAAUCAAUCCGCGAGUUCUUUCCCAUGGGCAAGACCAAUGCUCUCCGUGGGAAGAUUACAAGUUUUCAGCAACAAAAUGAUGAAUCUGUUCUAGAAGCAUGGGAGCGCUUUUAAGACUACAUCCUAGAAUGUUCCCAUCAUGGAAUGGAGAGUUGGCUAUUGAUGUAGACGUUUUAUCAUGGGCUCGGCAACAGUGCCCGAGAGACCAUAGAUGCUGCAGCUGGAGGAGCAUUCUUAUCACUUACCAUAUCACAAGCCACAGCUCUUGUGGAGAAGAUGGCGUCCAAUCAAAGCUAGAAUGAAGAAAGGACCCAGACACGCAAGAGAGGUGGAGAUAUGCAUCAGAUGAAGGAGGUAGACAUGCUGUCUGCAAAGCUAGACCUGCUCAUGAAGAAGCUCGAUGAUAGAGCUGGAGACAAGAAAGAAGUUAUGCACAUCUACGACUCUCACAUGACUUGUGAGGAGUGUGGAGAUACUGGACACUCAGGCAAUCACUGCCCUGAGAUACUUGAGGAUGUGAACUACAUCAACAAUAACAACAACUACUACUACAACCGUCCUCAACAAAAUCAAGGUUGGAAUCAACAGAGGCCUAACUACUCAGGUAAUUAUCAAGGUAACAAUUCUUACAACAAUAAUAAUAAUUUUCCACCUCUGAGAGAGUUAGUGUCUAAUCAAGGAAAGCUGAUGGAUAAUCUAUCUAAGAAAUUGGCAUCUAAUGAUAAAAUGUUAGAAAAUAUAAAUAAUAGAAUGGAUAAUUUCUCUACUGCCAUCAAGAAUCAAAUUAGCUUUAAUAAAAUGAUUGAAUCUCAGUUAAAUAAAAUAGCUGCUGUUGUUCCUACUACUAACACCGGUAUACCAUCACAACCGGAAGGAUUAGAAUCUACAAAUCUUGUAGACAUGUUUGAUGCAGGUAAUUGGAGUAACCCUGUCACUGAAUUUACUACUGACCUUCUGCCGAUCAAGAGAGGCGAUCCAGGGCGCCCCAUCAUCCCGAUCUCCAUCGGCAUGGUGGACGUCCCAUAAACACUCUGUGACUUUGGCUCCAGUGUCAACAUUAUACCCAGGGUACUCUAUGAAAAAUUCUUUACAUAUCCUUUAUUAGAAACAACCAUGUGUUUGCAGUUUGCAGAUCAAGCAAUAAGUUUUCCAAAAAGGAAUAUUGAAGAACCUUUGUGUCCGAGUUGGUACCUUGUAUGCCCCAGCAGACUUCUUGGUGAUAGAGACUGGUAAUGAUGAGAGAGCACCCAUCAUCUUAGGGAGGCCAUUCUUAAACACCUCGGGAGCUGUCAUCUACGCUAGUGCUGCCAAGAUCAGUUUCUUCAUCAAAGGGAGGAAGGAGACAUUUUUCUUCAAGAACAAGACUACACAAAUCCCAGAUCAAUCCAGACGUGAAUCAAGGAAGAGGACCAAUAGGAGGAACAGGAACAAGCAAGUGUGGACCGAAUCAGCUAAGAUGGUUACUGCAGUUCAUGGAGGCCAAGAUCAUCAACUUAUGUCACCGUUUUUGACCAAGAAGGACGACCCAGGAAAGCCAAGCAUCUACUGCUCCAUAAAUGGAUACAGCUUCUACAGGACAUUUUGCGACACCGGAUCGGGCGUCAACAUAAUGGCCGCAGUCACCUAUCGGCUCUUGUUCGGAACCAUGCACUUAAAACCAACAUACAUUCAGCUCCAGAUGGCAGAUCAGACAUUUCGAGAUGUCCCAGUCAAAAUAGACGAUCAUUUUGUCUACACAGACUUUCAGGUUAUUGACAUGGGAGAAGACGUGUACGAUCCACCCAUCAUCCUUGGAAGACCGUUCCUCAGCACCGUUAAAGCAAUCAUCUACAUUGGAACUGGAGAAGUCCAUUUGCACUUCCCCUCAGAGAAGGUACGCCGUUAUUUUACUGACCCUAACUACAUCUUUGAAGAAUCUAAGCAUGUCAUAAAACGACGCAACCGCAACCAGAGGAGGCAAAUCAUCAAGGACGGAUAGGCAGACUACGAAGGAGAAGUUGUAAGGUCAGAAGACGUAGAGUUUAAAAAGAAUUAUCCAGAGGAGACCGAAGCACCAAGCCAGGUUUGGAAAGAGAAGAUAACUAUACAUGAAGAGGAGGCGCUGCCGGAAGUAUCGACUACGCCACCCAACGAAUCCCAGGACAAUUGAGAAAAUGGAGAGUCUCGUUCGGAGGACUUAAAAACACCGAACGCCUUGCCAAGAGGUAAAGUUGGUAGUUAUCCUUUUCCUUUCAAUUAUUUUUAACAGUUUGCUUAGUUAAUCAUAUUCAUGCUAUCCUAAAAAGAAAAUAAAAAUGUGAAAAACAGUAAGCCCCAUGAGAGUAUACGAGUGGGCAUAAAACCCAUAAGUACAUUCACUGUGGUGGCAUAAAAAUAAAAUAAAUAUUUUAUUUCUGCUUUAUAAAAUAAAAAUAUAAAAAUAGGGAGUAAUAUUUAUUAAGGAGUCUCAACAUGAUAAAGGCUAGAUAUUUAUGCUAACACUUAAUCAGUUCCACAAGCUUUGUUGUCUAUUUGAGCUCCACAGAAUUUAAGAAUCAAGAAGACUAGCAGACGGAGGACAUUCUAAUCGCUGUCAGAAUGCUACUGACUUUCAAAUACACCUCUGCCACCUCCUAGCUACAUCAAAAGAAAUUACGUCAAAAUUCAGCUUGGGGGAGAGCACCCCCAUUUAUCUCGAUAAGUAUUUCUAUCUAUCUAUCUUUAUACUUAUACUAUUUUAGAAUAUAAAUAUACAUAAACCAGGAAAAACCAAAUAAAGUGGCUAUACUAAUCUGUAUUUUAAUAAUAAAACUCUAGCAUGGAUAUGAUGAAUAGUUGCUCUGCCUAAUUUGCACAUUUUAAGUUCUCUCUCAAGUUUAGAUAUAACUGUUAUAAUUUAAAGCUUGCUCUAGACCUAAACUUGUGGGAUGAAGACUUGAUCUAAAGUCUAAGUUGUUAACGGAUACGAUAUGGGAAGGUUGAGCUGCUGUUUAUCUGUUCCUAGAGAUGCUAGAAUUCUGGAGAAUUUUAUCUUUGAAAAUCUUUAAAAUUUUGCAUGAUGACUUCCUGUAUGAUGAGAGUUUUAAAUUCCUACCACAGCCAUAUAUACAUGCUUGCUAGACUUUGAGCCACACAUUUACUAUUUACUGCUUAUGAGCAUUGAGUGUGGUCAAGCUGUGUAGACCCUUAGGAGUUUGUCAUGUAGUUAAAUCAAGAUUCACUUGCACGUUCACUCAUAUAUGCUACUUCUACUCCGGAAGUACCAUCCACAUAUAUUCACCCAUUUUCAUCUCCAGAACCACCUAAAAAUAUUCUACUCCUAAUCCGGGAGAGAAUAGCCAAAAAUAUUUCUGUUUUUCCUUGUGAAAUAAAUGCUCAAGAUAUCUUGUUACUACCACUUGCUAUAUUAGCUCAAGAGAUGAGUGCUCUAAAAAAAGAGAAAAAAAAGAUACGAGGAAAUAAAAAGGGGCAAGUGCCCGGAACCUCGAAAGAAAAGAAAAAGUGAGACGAGAGGUAAAAAUGGACAAGUGUUCGACAGUAGAAUUAGGGGUACAAGAUACCCACCUGAGAGAAAAGAAAAAUAUAGAGCAUCUCAUUCUCCUCAUAAAAUUUCAAAAAGCAAGGAAGGUAUGUAUCCCCUCAAAAGAGCAAAGUAGAAUUAGACUUUCACCAUUGUUAUCACCAUCAUCACCAUACACCAUUCAUUUGCCACACAUGCACAUCUUGAUUUGAACUUAUUGAUUUGUUUCUUUGGAUCUAUGGUUUGACUAUACAAUAAAUGUCUUGUGAGUAUAUAUACUUUAUCUCCCACCUAUGAGCUCCAGAUAUUAAAGCCUUAUUAGAGUAGGAUGAGAGAGAAGGCAAUGUCAUUAUGCCUUAUACCACAAAUACUACAUAACUUGAGAGAAGGCAUAUACCAUCACUGCCUUGGUAAGGAUCCAAAAAUACCAUAAAAGAGAGAUUUGAGAGAAUCAUACAAGGAAUCUCUGAGUUUUAUUUGAAAAUCUGCAAAAACUCCAGAGCUAUAGCUGAUCAAGAAUAAGAGACAUGGCACUUGACUAGACUGUUCUAUCUUUUAACUACUCA